UUGCAUUUGAAGUUUAUUUUUUUCUUCUAGAUGCACAGUUUUGUUCUAUAAACUGUAUACAUAUUUUCUACAAAACCUUUUUUGUUGCCUUGAUUAAUUUCAGACACAGCAACUACACUUGAUGAUGAGAGAUCCUGUGGUUAACAAAGUGAGCUUCAUACAUUUACUUUAUGUAUUGAGAAGACUUCAAAAUGGGAAGAAUCCCAACUCACACUUAAGAGCACUUUUAUUUUUCACAUCAAUAUACAGUAAAAGCUUUAUUGACUAAAAGAUAUGAGAUAUGUUUGCAGUAGUCUAACAAAGCAUACUUUAUUAUUUUCUGAGAUGUCAAGUUCAAGCCUUUGUAUAUAUGCAGACAAAAACAAGCAAUAAGACUAGCAAUAAGACAUUGGUACAUUGUUAUUGUUUUGACUCAGUUCUGUCUAUGUGGCAUUCAGAAAUGAGCAUCAACCAUUAAAAUUGUAAAAAGUCACAUUGACUCUAAUAUGACAAAAUAAUAAAUGAUAAUGUUUUGUACCUGAUAUCAUGUCACUGGGCCAUGGACAGAAAUUAUAAAUGAG